CAUGUAGGCGGUUGUUUAAGUCUGAUGUGAAAGCCCUGGGCUCAACCCAGGAAGUGCAUUGGAUACUGGAUAACUUGAGUACGGGAGAGGAAAGUGGAAUUUCGAGUGUAGGGGUGAAAUCCGUAGAUAUUCGAAGGAACACCAGUGGCGAAGGCGGCUUUCUGGACCGAUACUGACGCUGAGAUGCGAAAGCGUGGGGAGCAAACA
rnacentral:rRNA from 1 species